rnacentral:rRNA from 1 species
UACGAAGGGGGGCUAGCGUUUGUUCGGAAUUACUGGGCGUAAAAGCGCACGUAGGCGGACAUUUAAGUUGGAGGUGAAAGCCUUGGGCUCAACCCAAGAAUUGCCUUUGAUACUGGAUGUCUCGAGACCGGGAGAGGUGAGUGGAAUUCCGAGUGUAGAGGUGAAAAUUCGUAGAUAUUCGGAAGAACACCAGUGGCGAAGGCGGCUCACUGGCCCGGUUCUGACGCUGAGGUGCGAAAGCGUGGGGAGCAAACAGG